AUCAUUUUCCACUUAUCUAUUUGUCAAAUGGAACAUGACUAGCAGUACUAUUUCACACUGUCAAAGACAAUAUAAACUUCCAGAUGCAAUUAGGUGCCUCAGAGAGAGUGGUAUGGCCACAGACUGGCAAUAUAUUUUAAAAGCAUGCAUAAUCAUUGACCUACCAAUUCUAAUGCUAAGAAUUUAAUUUAGCUUUAAGGAUGUACCCAACAAUUGGAAAUAACCUAAAUAAUGUUCAAAUUCAGAAAAGUGAUCGAGUCAAAUGUGGCAUUUCCACAAGAUGAAAAAUGACAUUAGAAAUAAGUGGUGAUAUUAUAGAUGAACCUGUAAUUUUUUUUUUUUUUAACAAUGUACACAAAUACCUGGGCACAGUUAGGCCAAACAACAGAUCACAGAUCAUACACUAGCUGAGUAGAGAACUCUCACAGUUAAGAGCUGCUCUCGAUCUGUUGCCAUAGCGCAUGCCUGUAGUCCCAUCACUGUGGGAGGGCUGUCUGAUCCUAAGAGUUCAAGACCAGCCCGGGCUACACAGUGAGAGCUUCUCUCUACAAUUAAAAAAAAAAAAAGCUGGGCAUGGUGGCGCUCACCUGUAGCCUUAGCUACUCAGGAGGUUGAGGCUGUGAUGUGCCACUGGACUCGUCUCGGCAAGAGUGAGACCUCAACCCAAAAAACCACAACUACUCUCCUUGUACAAAACAUCGCUCUAAUUUUCACAUAUAUCUUCUGAGCUAGAGUCAUUAACUCUUUACUUUUUCCUAAAAGGACAAAAUAUAGGUGCUGAUUUAACAUUAAAAAUCUCGCUUGGGGUGCUCCUCCCACAGCGGUUGGCCACAAAGAGUCUGGGGGUUGGGGGAAGGUCAAGCAUAGCCUUCUCACCUUUACCAAAAUGGCGGCUUGUCCCCGCUUUGCCAAGGUUCCUACCUUAUGAGCUUGGUUUUCUUACGCUAAUUAAGAGUGGAACAGCAAAAGCUGGCAGGCUGACAGAAGCAGCCUCAGGAUGGACUUCCUGGCUCCUGACCAUUUUGCUAUUGUGCAUAGGUGUGAGAUCAACCAUGAGCUCCACUACAGUUUUGACCCGAAAGCUUGCUGAACACUGAAGUGGGCUGGUUCCUCAAUAGAUCAAAGUUGUCACUCUAAAUUUAGAAGAGGAGAGUGACUCUCCAACCUACAAGGAUGCCUUCCCUCCACUUCCCAAGAAAGCAGUCUGGUUGCAAAGUGCCCUGGAGCCUGCUGGAGCCUGGGGUAACAAGAUCCGGCCCAUUGAGGCUUCUGUCAUCACUCAGGUGUUCCAUGUACUCCUGGAAGAGAGAAAAUUUAAGGACAUGAACCAAUUUGGAGAAGGUGAACAAGCAAAAAUCUGCCUUGAGAUCACACAGAGGACCAGUGCUCACCUGAAGUCAUCACUGGCCAAAGACCAAGGCCUCUCCAUCAUGGUCUCGGGGAAGCUGGGCACUGUCAUGAAAGCACAGAAGGACAUUGUUGCUAGACUGCAGACUCAGGCCUCAGCAACUGCUGCCAUUCCCAAAGAACACCAUCACUUUGUUAUUGGCAAAAAUGGAGAGAAACUGCAAGACUUGGAGCUAAAAACUGCAACCAAAAUCCAGAUCGCAUGCCCAGAUGACCCCAGCAAUCAGAUCAAGAUCACUGGCACCCAAGAGGGCACUGAAAAAGCUCACUCUGAAGUCUUACUCAUCUCUGCCAAGCAGGACAAGCGUGGUGUGGAGAGGCUACAAGUGGAGAAAGCAUUCCACCCCAUCACUGCUGGGCCUACAAUUGACUUGUUAGCGAAAUCAUGCAAGAGAUAGGAACACACAUCAACAUCCCCCCACCGUGAAUCGGACAGAAAUUGUCUUUACCGGAGAGAAGGAACAGUUGGCUCAGGCUACGGUUCGAAUCAAGAAGAUUUAUGAGGAAAAUAAAAAGAAGACCACCAUUGCUGUGGAGGUGAAGAAAACUCAGCACAAGGGCAAUUCAAUGCAGGAAAUCCUGGAGAGAACUGGAGUUUCUGUUGAGAUCCCACCUUCAGACAGUAUCUCUGAGACUGUGAUACUUCGAGGAGAGUCUGAAAAGUUAGCGCAGUUAUUGACUAAAGUCUAUGCCAAGGCCAAUAGUUUCACUAUCUCCUCUGCUGCUGCCCCUUCCUGGCUUCACUGUUUCAUCAUUGGCAAGAAAGGGCAGAACCUGGCCAAGAUCACUCAACAGACGCCAAAGGUUCACAUAGAGUUCAAGAGGGUGAGGACAAGAUCACCCUGGAAGGCCCUAUGGGGGAUGUAAAUGUGGCCCACAAACAGAUCAAAGGCAUGGACAAAGAUUUGAUGAACUGGAAGGACCAUGUAGAGAUUAACAUCGAUCACAAGUUCCACAGACACCUCAGUGGGAAGAAUGGCGCCAACAUAAACAGAAUCAAAGUCCAGUACAAGGUGUCUGUGUGCAUCCCUCCUGAUUGUGAGAAGAGCAACCUGAUUCGCAUCAGGGGAGAUCCACAGGGCAUGCGGCAGGCCAAGCGUGAGCUGCUGGAGCUGACGUCUUGCAUGGAAAAUGAGUGUACCAAGGAUCUAAUCAUUGACCCGGCAGAGCAAAGAUUUCAUAGCACAAUCUUUGGGCAGAAGGGUGAAUGGAUCCGUGAAAUUUGUAACAAAUUCCCAGAGGUUAUCAUCAGCUUUCUUGACCCAGCACAAAAAAGUGGUAUUGUCCAACUUAGAGGGCCCAAGAAUGAGGUGGAAAAAUGCACAAAAUACACGCAGAAGAUGGUGGCAGACUUGGUGGAAAAUAGCUACUCAAUUUCUGUUCCGAUCUUCAGUUUCAUAAGAACAUCAUUGGGAAAGGAGGUGCAAACAUUAACAAGAUUCGUGAAGAAAGCAACACACCAAGAUUGACUUUCCAGCAGAGAAUAGCAAUUCAGAGACCAUUAUCAUCACAGGCAAGUGAGUUAAAGAAAGACUUGGCCAACAUAGGUGAGGUGGAGGUCUCGAUCCCUGCCAAGCUGCACAACUCCCUCAUCGACAUGAAGGGUUGUCUCAUCUGCUGUAUCAUGGAGAAGUGCAGUGGGGUCCACAUUCACUUUCCUGUGGAAGGUUCAGGAAGCGACAGUUAUCAUCAGGGGUCCAUUCUCGGAUACGGAGAAGGCCAAGCAGCAGCUUUUGCACCUGGCCAAGGAGAAGCAAACCAAGAGUUUCACAUCCGCCAAGUCAGAACACAAUUUCUCAUUAGCAAAGGUGGCAAAAUUCGCAAGGUGUGUGACAGCACCAGAGCCUGCAUCAUCUUUCCAGCAGCCGAGGACAAGGAUCAAGAUCUGAUUGCCAUCAGAGGAAAGGAGGAUGCUGUCCAGGAGGUGCAGGAGUUGGAGGCCUUGAUCCAGAACCUGAAUAACGUGGUUGAAGACUACAAGCUGGCGGACCCCAAACACCACCACCACUUUGUCAUCGAAGAGGCCAGGUUUUGCGGGAGAUUGCUGAGGAGUAUGAUGGGAUGGUAGCUUCCCACACUCCAGCACAGAGUGACAAAGUCACCCUCAAGGGCGGCAAGGACUGUGUGGAGACAGCCAAGAAACGCUUUCAGGAAAUCACUGAGGAAUCUGGAAGCUCAGGUGACAGUAGAACGUGCUAUACCCCAGAAAGUCCACUGAUCUGUCAUGGGCCCCAAAGGUUCCAGAAUCCAGCAGAUUACUCGGGAUUUCAAUGUUCAAAUUGAAUUCCCAGAGAAUGGGGACUAAGCGAGGGAGGGGAGGGGCCAAGGAAGAUGCCCCCGGCUCUUUUAGGUGUGACGUCAUCAUCAUCUCUGGCUGGAAAGAAUAGCGUGAGGCUACCAAGGAAGCCCUGGAGGCACUGGUUCCUGUCACCAUUGACGUGGAGGUGCCCUUUGAUCUUCACCGUUACAUCACUGGGCAGAAGGGAAAUGGGAUUCGCAAAGUGAUGGAUGAGUUUGAGGUGAACACACACGUCCCAGCACCUGAGCUACAGUCUGACGCCGUCACCAUCACAGGCCUUGCUGCAAAUUUGGACCAGGCCAAGGCUGGGUUGCCAGAGCAUGUGAAGGAAUUGGAGGCCAAACAGGAGGACCGGGCUUUAAGGAGUUUUAAGCUGACUGCCACUGUAGACCCCAAAUACCAUCCCGAAUUGGGAGAAAGGGGACAUGAACAUCCAGUUUCCUGAUAAGGAUGAUGGGACCCAGACCCAGGACCAAAUUAACACCACAGGGCACGAAAAGAAUACAGAAGCUUCCUGGGAUGCUAUAUUAAGAAUUGUGAAAGAAGAGAUGGUUUUCAAGGACGUUUCCCUGGACCACCGUGUUCACGCCUGUAUCACUGGUGCCCAUGGCAAAGCCAUCCGCAAAAUCACGAAUUUAAGGUAGACAUUUGCUUUCCACAGAGCAGAGCCCCAGACCCUAACUGCGUCACAGUGACGGGGCUCCCAGAUAACAUGAAGGAAUCCAUUGACCACAUCCUAAACCUGGAAGAGGAAUACCUGGCAGAUGAGGUGGACAGUGAGGUGCUGCAGGUAUACAUGAAGCCUCCGGUACACGAGUCCAAAGUGCCAUCCAGAGGCUUUGUGGUGUGUGAUGGGCCGUGGACUGCCAACAGCAGUGAGAAGGCUCCUGACAUGAGCAGCUCUGAGGAACUUCCCAGUUUUGGGGCUCAGGUGGCCUCCAAGGCCCUCCCAUGGGGUCCCAAACAAUAAUGAUCAAAAGGCAGAAACCUAUCUAGCCUGCUGACCCGAACCCCACCACCACACAAUCGUUUGUCUCAAUCUGACCCAGCAAGCUCUGUGUGCGUCCAGUAUGGGGCCUGGUCGACACCCAGCACAUGCUCAGGAUCUGCUCCCUGACACUUGGCUCUGGGUGCUCCACUGUUUAACACUAAACAAAGUUAAUUGAGCAUUCUGUGGUGACACAAACUCUGGCUUCCUGAUCCACCCAGCAUGUCAGUCAGCACUCUGACCAGAGUUCCACAGCUGCGGCUAGGAUUCGACUUCCUGUGUCAUGAUCUCAGAAAAUAAAUUUUCCUUGACUUUAUAUUAAAACAACAACAACAACAACAAAAAAAAACUUGCUUGAUUUUAGUGGGCUAUUCUUCUCUAGUAGGUUUUAACAGCUUUUAAACAAGUUUUCCAGUCUAACUAAAUAGCUAUUAUUAUAUGUAAAAGCUUGUGCAUAUGAAGUGCAAUGCUUGAGACUCAACUUGUAAAAGUAACUUUCCAGCGUCUUUUGUCACUUAUAAAAAAGAAAUUGUGUUUUUCCAGUAAGACUCCAGACACUAAGCUGUGGUGACAACAAACAUUUUUAUUCAACUGGUUCAAAAAUUUUUAAAGAAUUAAUCCAUUUAGGUGACCAAAUAAGACUUCUAAAAACAAAUCUUUGCCAAAUAGUUUAAGUAAUUCUCAACUUCAACUUGUGUUAGGGUAGAAUAAAUACCCACAGCUAGGAAGUACCAUAAACAUGUCAAUAAAAGGCUAGCCAACACUGAAAGCCUUCCAUGACCAGUUACUAGACUGUUUACAAGAGUGUAAAUAAGGGAUUAAAACCAUGCCAUUGACAAGUUAACUUACCCCUGGGCUCCUUGAAGGCUUGUCAGUUUAGUCUUUGGAGGUCCCCGAAUACCAUUUUAAGUGUUACCAUGUUACUGCUGCUGAGUAACAGUGCAAGUGCUAAAAUGCAAAAUUCAGAUGGUACAGGGUUUGGAAAUCAUGCAGAUUUAGAUGCAGAAAAAAAAAUUAAAACAACUCAAGAUCCUUUUACAGAGGAAACUGAAUAAUGAAACAACGUGGCGCUCACAAGUCUAAAGGACGACUUCAUUGAUAAAUGUAACUUGCAAAAUGACAGGCCUAUUUAUCAUAAUCUAAUUAGGCAAGGGCAUUAGGUAAACUACCAACACAAAAACGGUCACAUUCUUCCAAUUAGAAAACGAGCUCUCAACUCUCACACAGAAUUAGCAGUUACAUAGAAAGUACAAUAGAGAAUCAAUGUGUUAUUGCUUUUACAUACUUAAUUAACAGUGCACUGUGAGAGUGAGUCCUAUAAGUGGUUUUACUCAACAUCACUACGUUCCCCCACCCUUUGGAGGACAAAACCCAUUUCGCUAAACACUUCCACAGACAACCCACCCCACUGGUUCUUAACGCUACCAGACUUCUUAAUGGGUUUCAGGCACAAGGUAAAUGGUGGUUUCUUCCACUUUAUCCCUAUUGCAAUUAAUUCCACUUUUCAAAUCCCAAACUGGAAAGGUGCUGAUAUUCCCUCUUUUCAAUUGAUAUGCUUUGCUACAAAGCAUUUGAAAAUAAUCAACAUUGUUUUGCCCACUCCCCCAAAUAUCUUUAGAAGGCAUGAUUUCCCACUGGAGAUUUAUACAGACCAUGUAAAUAGAACAUCACCCAAAUGCACAGAGGCACUAAGAAAAAGCCAGAGGGUACUGCUUACCAUUUUAGGUGCGGUCACCCAGACUUAUUAAAAACUAGAUUUAAAAAGAAAAAAAAAAAAAAUACUGUUCACUUUGGACAAUGCAAGAACAAAUAGCAAUUAAGUCUGGGUAUCAGGUGUCAAUGCAUGACAGGUGAUGAAUCCAUUUGACUUGAGACAACUUUUCAAAUAAGUUUAUUUGAAGCAAAAUAAACUAUUGCCAAGAAACUUUAUGAAAGUUCCAUCUCAAAAGGGUCAAAAAAGGGGAAUUAACUGCUAUGAAUUCUUUGCAUUCAGGGCUGCAAAACAAAGACACAUAUUAUUUAAAUCAGUUUUAUUUAAGAAUUUCCAACAUUGACAACUCUUAUAAAAAGCAUCCAAGCACAGGACACAGAACUGCAGCAAACAGCAUUCUUAGGGGUAGCUAACAGACAUUAGAACUUCCACCCUUCUUUGAGACACCUGAGCCCACUGGUGAACUCUGCUUCCAAGUACUCCUGCAAAGCACACCACAAGCUCAGUCCAUGUUCUCAGCCCACCAUCUCCAGUUCACAUUACCACACUUACAUAUCAAUAACAGAAGAGAACACACACCAUACAGCAUUCACAGCAGUUGACAGAGGGGCAGGGGGAAUACAAGUAUCGUGUCACUUAACACAUUCAACUAACGUGGGUUAUCUAAGAACAAAACUCACUUAAAGUCUUCCAACAGAUGUGGAUGUCCUUUGAAUGCAAGAAACAUUCGUACAUUAUUUGCUAUCAUUGCUCUCUGCACACUCUCA